rnacentral:lncRNA from 1 species
GGCCUUUCAAACAAGACAAAAGUAGAACUGAAGGUAACCCAGUGCUAUGGAUCAGAAAACAGUUCAUAUAAUAUAAUACUCUUCUGUUGAAAUAUAUGAUAAAGUGUAUAAUACAUGGCAAAAUCCGUAUCACAUGCCGUAUCACCCUCGACAAAUAUCAUCCCUCGGGCCUAAAGGCCCUUGGGCUGAUAUUGAUGUCUCGGGAUGAUACGACAUAUGAUACGGAUUUUGCCAUGUAAUAUUCUCUAUUUAUCCUAUGUUUAGUAGUAAAUACAGUAGUUUUGCAUAUGUGAUAAAUAGCCUGUUGUUUAAUCCAUAUCGCGCAACUUUGAUGCGCACCCUUUAUCGCAUACCCUUUAUCACACCCCUACCCUUUAUCGCAUACCCUUUAUCACACCCCUACUUUUUUUUUUUUUUUUUUUUUUUUUUUUUUUUACAUAAAGUCAGUUUUGUUUUUUUUUUUGCUUAAGAAAAAUUUUCCUCAAAAUAGGUAAAUUUUUUGAAUGACGUCAUUGUUUGGUAUGCGACGUCACGAACGUCGAGUUUUCAUAUUGUAUGUGACGUCACGAACGUCAAGUUUUUAUAUUUUUU